rnacentral:tRNA from 1 species
GGCGCUGUGGCGGAGUGGUCUAACGCGUUAGACUGUGAAUCUAAUUCCUUCGGGAGCAUCGGUUCGAACCCGAUCGGCGUCG